UACGAAGGGGGGCGAGCGUUGUUCGGAUUUACUGGGCGUAAAGGGCGCGCAGGCGGUUCUGUUUGUCGAGUGUGAAAGCCCCGGGCUCAACCUGGGAACUGCGCUCGAAACGGCAGAACUAGAGUUCGGGAGAGGAGAGUGGAAUUCCCAGUGUAGAGGUGAAAAUUCGUAGAUAUUGGGAGAACACCGGUGGCGAAGGCGGG
rnacentral:rRNA from 1 species